rnacentral:rRNA from 1 species
GUUUUAUUGAUAAUAAUUUUAAGUCAAAUCUGCUCAAUGAAAUAUUUAAAUAGCUGCAGUAUUAAUAACUGUACAAAGGUAGCAUAAUAAUUAGUUUUUUAAUUAAAAACUAGAAUGAAUGAUUUAAUGAAAUAUAAUCUCUAUCAAAUUUAUUAUAUAAAUUUAUUAUUUAAAUAAAAAUAUUUAAAUAAAUAUUAAAGACGAGAAGACCCUAAAGAAUUUAAAUAAUUUUUUUUUAUUAAUUUAUAUUAAAAAAUUAUUUUAAUUGGGGAAAUUUUAAAAUUUAUUUAAUUUUUAAUUAAAUUUUAACAUAAAUUUUUGAAUAUAUAAUAUUUUUUAAAAAAAUAAAUAAAAUUACCUUAGGGAUAACAGCAUAAUUUUUUUUUAAAGUUCAAAUUUAUAAAAAAGUUUAU